GAUGAACGCUGGCGGCGUGCCUAACACAUGCAAGUCGAGCGAUUUACUUCGGUAAAGAGCGGCGGACGGGUGAGUAACGCGUGGGUAACCUGCCCUAUACACACGGAUAACAUACCGAAAGGUAUGCUAAUACGAGAUAAUAUAAGAGAUUCACAUGGAUUUCUUAUCAAAGCUGAGGCGGUAUAGGAUGGACCCGCGUCUGAUUAGCUAGUUGGUAAGGUAACGGCUUACCAAGGCGACGAUCAGUAGCCGAACUGAGAGGGUGAUCGGUCACAUUGGAACUGAGACACGGUCCAAACUCCUACGGGAGGCAGCAGUGGGGAAUAUUGCACAAUGGGCGAAAGCCUGAUGCAGCAACGCCGCGUGAGUGAUGAAGGCCUUCGGGUCGUAAAACUCUGUCCUCAAGGAAGAUAAUGACGGUACUUGAGGAGGAAGCCCCGGCUAACUACGUGCCAGCCGCCGCUGUAACAC
rnacentral:rRNA from 1 species